rnacentral:rRNA from 1 species
GGCCAGACUCCUACGGGAGGCAGCAGUGGGGAAUAUUGGGCAAUGGGCGCAAGCCUGACCCAGCAACGCCGCGUGAAGGAAGAAGGCUUUCGGGUUGUAAACUUCUUUUGUCAGGGACGAAGCAAGUGACGGUACCUGACGAAUAAGCCACGGCUAACUACGUGCCAGCAGCCGCGGUAAUACGUAGGUGGCAAGCGUUAUCCGGAUUUAUUGGGUGUAAAGGGCGUGUAGGCGGGAAUGCAAGUCAGAUGUGAUAACGAUGGGCUCAACCCAUAGCCUGCAUUUGAAACUGUAGUUCUUGAGUGAUGGAGAGGCAGGCGGAAUUCCGUGUGUAGCGGUGAAAUGCGUAGAUAUACGGAGGAACACCAGUGGCGAAGGCGGCCUGCUGGGCAUUAACUGACGCUGAGGCGCGAAAGCGUGGGGAGCAAACAGGAUUAGAUACCCCGGUA